GAUGAACGCUGGCGGCGUGCCUAACGCAUGCAAGUCGAACGGACGGACGCUAAGCUUGUGUUUUUGAUGUUAGCGGCAGGCGGGUGUGUAACGCGUGUAUCCUCUCCUUAUCUUUCGGGGAAAAUCACGGAAAACCGGAUAUUAUACCAGAGAAUAUUUUGAACCGCAGGGUUCAAAGGAAAGUGACGGCCUUGCUGUCUGUAAUAGCUGGUUACGCGCUGGCUUAGCUGGUUGGUAAGGUACCAGCCUAUCACGGCGACGAGGCGUGGCCGACCUGAGAGGCUGAUCGGCCACACUGGAACUGAGACACGGUCCAGACGCCUACGGGAGGCAGCAGUAGGGAACCGUCGGCAAUGGGCGAAAGCCUGACGCAGCGACGCCGCGUGUGUGAUGAAGGCCUCCGGUUCGGAAAGCCCGCUUUUUGGUUAAGAACAGCUGUCGAAUGAAACGUGGCCUUAGUGACGGUACCUAAUCAAAAAGCACCGGCUAACUACGUG
rnacentral:rRNA from 1 species